rnacentral:rRNA from 1 species
AGCUGUCAGAGGUGAAAUUCUUGGAUUUGCUGAAGACUAACUACUGCGAAAGCAUUCGCCAAGGAUGUUUUCAUUAAUCAGGGAACGAAAGUUAGGGGAUCGAAGACGAUCAGAUACCGUCGUAGUCUUAACCAUAAACUAUGCCGACUAGGGAUCGGACGGUGUUUCUAUUAUGACCCGUUCGGCACCUUACGAGAAAUCAAAGUUUUUGGGUUCUGGGGGGAGUAUGGUCGCAAGGCUGAAACUUAAAGAAAUUGACGGAAGGGCACCACCAGGCGUGGAGCCU